GGUUAAGCGACUAAGCGUACACGGUGGAUGCCCUGGCAGUCAGAGGCGAUGAAGGACGUGCUAAUCUGCGAAAAGCGUCGGUAAGGUGAUAUGAACCGUUACAGCCGGCGAUGUCCGAAUGGGGAAACCCAGUGUGAUUCGUCACACUAUCGUUAACUGAAUACAUAGGUUAACGAGGCGAACCGGGGGAACUGAAACAUCUAAGUACCCCGAGGAAAAGAAAUCAACCGAGAUUCCCCCAGUAGCGGCGAGCGAACGGGGAGCAGCCCAGAGUCUGAAUCAGCUUGUGUGUUAGUGGAACGGUCUGGAAAGUCCGACGGUACAGGGUGAUAGUCCCGUACACCAAAAUGCACAGGCUGUGAACUCGAAGAGUAGGGCGGGACACGUGGUAUCCUGUCUGAAUAUGGGGGGACCAUCCUCCAAGGCUAAAUACUCCUGACUGACCGAUAGUGAACCAGUACCGUGAGGGAAAGGCGAAAAGAACCCCGGCGAGGGGAGUGAAAAAGAACCUGAAACCGUGUACGUACAAGCAGUGGGAGCACCUUCGGGUGUGACUGCGUACCUUUUGUAUAAUGGGUCAGCGACUUAUAUUCUGUAGCAAGGUUAACCGUAUAGGGGAGCCGCAGGGAAACCGAGUCUUAACUGGGCGUUAAGUUGCAGGGUAUAGACCCGAAACCCGGUGAUCUAGCCAUGGGCAGGUUGAAGGUUGGGUAACACUAACUGGAGGACCGAACCGACUAAUGUUGAAAAAUUAGCGGAUGACUUGUGGCUGGGGGUGAAAGGCCAAUCAAACCGGGAGAUAGCUGGUUCUCCCCGAAAGCUAUUUAGGUAGCGCCUCGUGAAUUCAUCUUCGGGGGUAGAGCACUGUUUCGGCUAGGGGGUCAUCCCGACUUACCAACCCGAUGCAAACUACGAAUACCGAAGAAUGUUAUCACGGGAGACACACGGCGGGUGCUAACGUCCGUCGUGAAGAGGGAAACAACCCAGACCGCCAGCUAAGGUCCCAAAGUCAUGGUUAAGUGGGAAACGAUGUGGGAAGGCACAGACAGCCAGGAUGUUGGCUUAGAAGCAGCCAUCAUUUAAAGAAAGCGUAAUAGCUCACUGGUCGAGUCGGCCUGCGCGGAAGAUGUAACGGGGCUAAACCAUGCACCGAAGCUGCGGCAGCGACACUAUGUGUUGUUGGGUAGGGGAGCGUUCUGUAAGCCUGCGAAGGUGACCUGUGAGGGUUGCUGGAGGUAUCAGAAGUGCGAAUGCUGACAUAAGUAACGAUAAAGCGGGUGAAAAGCCCGCUCGCCGGAAGACCAAGGGUUCCUGUCCAACGUUAAUCGGGGCAGGGUGAGUCGACCCCUAAGGCGAGGCCGAAAGGCGUAGUCGAUGGGAAACAGGUUAAUAUUCCUGUACUUGGUGUUACUGCGAAGGGGGGACGGAGAAGGCUAUGUUAGCCGGGCGACGGUUGUCCCGGUUUAAGCAUGUAGGCUGGUUAUCCAGGCAAAUCCGGAUAAUCAAGGCUGAGGUGUGAUGACGAGGCACUACGGUGCUGAAGUAACAAAUGCCCUGCUUCCAGGAAAAGCCUCUAAGCAUCAGGUAACAUCAAAUCGUACCCCAAACCGACACAGGUGGUCAGGUAGAGAAUACCAAGGCGCUUGAGAGAACUCGGGUGAAGGAACUAGGCAAAAUGGUGCCGUAACUUCGGGAGAAGGCACGCUGGUGUGUAGGUGAAGUCCCUGCGGAUGGAGCUGAGACCAGUCGAAGAUACCAGCUGGCUGCAACUGUUUAUUAAAAACACAGCACUGUGCAAACACGAAAGUGGACGUAUACGGUGUGACGCCUGCCCGGUGCCGGAAGGUUAAUUGAUGGGGUUAUCCGUAAGGAGAAGCUCUUGAUCGAAGCCCCGGUAAACGGCGGCCGUAACUAUAACGGUCCUAAGGUAGCGAAAUUCCUUGUCGGGUAAGUUCCGACCUGCACGAAUGGCGUAAUGAUGGCCAGGCUGUCUCCACCCGAGACUCAGUGAAAUUGAACUCGCUGUGAAGAUGCAGUGUACCCGCGGCAAGACGGAAAGACCCCGUGAACCUUUACUAUAGCUUGACACUGAACAUUGAGCCUUGAUGUGUAGGAUAGGUGGGAGGCUUUGAAGCGUGGACGCCAGUCUGCGUGGAGCCAACCUUGAAAUACCACCCUUUAAUGUUUGAUGUUCUAACGUUGGCCCCUUACCGGGGUUGCGGACAGUGUCUGGUGGGUAGUUUGACUGGGGCGGUCUCCUCCCAAAGCGUAACGGAGGAGCACGAAGGUUAGCUAAUCCUGGUCGGACAUCAGGAGGUUAGUGCAAUGGCAUAAGCUAGCUUGACUGCGAGCGUGACGGCGCGAGCAGGUGCGAAAGCAGGUCAUAGUGAUCCGGUGGUUCUGAAUGGAAGGGCCAUCGCUCAACGGAUAAAAGGUACUCCGGGGAUAACAGGCUGAUACCGCCCAAGAGUUCAUAUCGACGGCGGUGUUUGGCACCUCGAUGUCGGCUCAUCACAUCCUGGGGCUGAAGUAGGUCCCAAGGGUAUGGCUGUUCGCCAUUUAAAGUGGUACGCGAGCUGGGUUUAGAACGUCGUGAGACAGUUCGGUCCCUAUCUGCCGUGGGCGCUGGAGAAUUGAGGGGGGCUGCUCCUAGUACGAGAGGACCGGAGUGGACGCAUCACUGGUGUUCGGGUUGUCAUGCCAAUGGCACUGCCCGGUAGCUAAAUGCGGAAGAGAUAAGUGCUGAAAGCAUCUAAGCACGAAACUUGCCCCGAGAUGAGUUCUCCCUGAGACUUUAAGUCUCCUGAAGGAACGUUGAAGACGACGACGUUGAUAGGCCGGGUGUGUAAGCGCAGCGAUGCGUUGAGCUAACCGGUACUAAUGAACCGUGAGGCUUAACCUU
rnacentral:rRNA from 2 species